UUUGAAAUUGUUCUUGGGUAUCGAGAAGAGCUGAGGAAAUGAAGCUAUUGUUCUUAUAUCAAGUUUCUCUUAGUUGUAGAGUGGGUAUAGUUCUUGUAGUAGCUCCAAGUUUAUUGCUAAGAUGGAUGUUAAAAGAGGAGUGUGACAUGGUUUUUUGUUUUGAUCCAAGGCUGGCUACACUAGCUGAGCAAAGUGCUUGACGAAGCCAUUGUUGUCACAAUAGGUUGUUUCCUUAGAGGUGUGUGCUCUCAAGUGGUUGAAGCAUACAUGAGGGGAAUUGUAUGAGUUGUUUUUUUGUAAUAGAUGCACAAGCAAUUCCUUAAGAAAGUUGUCUAUUGGAAGGUGAGUUUUUUGGGGUAAGAGAUGAAGGAUAUUGAUGCAACAAGUUUGAAGUUAUGAAGAUGUUUACCCAGGAGGCAAUAAUAGAUCAAGGUUUUGUGCUUGAGUGGUAAAAUUAAAGAGUUCAAUGCAAUUGUAGAUCAAUAGAAGGAGUCCUUGUGAAUAUAUUCCUAUUUCUUAUUACAUAGCUGAUGCUUAGCUUUUUGCAUCUCUCUGCUACUAUCCCCUGGAGUACUUUGAGAUUUGUAGUUGAAUUCGGUUUUGGAAAAGUGUGAAAGAAGUCGGAUCAUUCAGCCAUGGAUAGAUUAUUCUAAUAAGGAUGUUCCUCUUGAGUGAAUGAUCAUGAGUCCAAUUUUCACACUCUAAAGUUGAAUGUGGUUAGUCCUACCUAAGAUCUAGAGUUCGCUGUAGUGGAUUUUGGCAUUGGAGAUUUAGAAGCAUUGUAUCUAUGGAAAAUCAUGUGACAUCUUUGCGGAUCAUCGAACUAAAGUGUAUUCUCGUUAAGAAUUAGUUAACUUGAGACAGAGAAGGUGGCUUGAGUUGAUUAAGGAGUAUGAUUUGACUAUUCAGUAUCACCCUAGCAAGGUGAAUUUUGUUGCAGAUGCGCUUAGCAGGAGAACUGGUGUCCCUAAGAUUCAUAUGCCUUUGAUUGUUGAAUUGGACAACAUUGGUAUUUCUCUGUGCUAUGCUGGUGUUGCCAUAAGGAGACUCAGUUGGUGAUUCAGUAACCAUUACAUGAGCAUAUAUGGUG
rnacentral:lncRNA from 1 species